rnacentral:lncRNA from 1 species
GCAAUUUUAAACAAAAAAGCUUUCCUGUGAAUUAUAAUAGAGCAGGUAGUUCCUCAGGAAAACUUUUGGAAAAAGAAAACAGGUUCGGUUGUGUAAGUUUUGAGGCGUGUAAUUCUAGUGCUAUGGCUUUGGCAGAACAUGGCUCUGAUAGGGAGAAUGUUGCUGUUGAUUCUAAUUACACUGAGGCAAGAAAACAGGAGAGUAUCAGUCUGACCCAAACCUGGAAAAAGGAUUUAGAAGCUACUUCUUUGGUUACUCAAAGGGAAGAAAAUAGAGAGGCUUGUGUUUUUGUAGACUCUGGAGUAAGAAAGGAGGCUCAGGAUGUGUCUAGUAUGUGCAAAGGUAGUCCAGAGUUGAAACCACAGGAGAAAGUGUGUGCAGUGAGAUCUGUGGAUCUUCCAGCAGUGGCAGGAGCCUAUCUAUUAGGAUUGGUUUUAGGUUUCCAAUUAUCUUUGAAUGCUAGGAAGUUGCCAAAAGGUGAUCUCAGGUGUAAAAAGGAAGAAGAGGAUAACUUAGAGCAGAAAAAGGAAUUACUGUGUAUUCAGGAAGAAUCAGUGGUUGAAAGUAUAGAUUCACAGGAAUUUGUAAAUCAGAAGGAAAGUAUGCUGGAAUGCCAGAAUAUUUCUGAAUGGGUAAAAGAUGAGGACAAAAGAAAAUGUAGAAACCAGGAAAAGAUUAACAGGAAGAUUUUGCAGAACAAUGAAUUGUCUGUCCCUGUAGCAAAUUUGGGUGUUUUAAAGACAUCCCUUUUACAUCUGUAUCUUUGUUCAAGUUCUGAAUUUUUGAUACAAUACAGGGUGCAAUUUCUUUUCUCAAAGAUCAUUGUACUUGGAAAACCGCCACCAGAAACCACCCCCCCCCACAAACAGGGAAUUUUACUACUGGAAGAAUGGCAUGAGCCCCCAUUUUUCUUUUCAGUCCAAAGGUUUUGCUGCAAGGCAUAAGGCUCUUAGCAUUUGUUUACCUUGGCAUGUUUGUUUUUAAGAUUAUUCAGUAGCUCAGUGGGUGAUUGUUUACCCAUUGUUGUGCUCUGAAUGGUUUGGGAAUUCUUCUCAGCUGAAGGACUGGAAGGGCAAGCCUAAACUAUUCAUGAAGAGAGCUGAACUCUGUG